rnacentral:rRNA from 1 species
GAUCCUGGCUCAGGACGAACGCUGGCGGCGUGCUUAACACAUGCAAGUCGAACGAGAAUCUGUGGAUCGAGGAUUCGUCCAAGUGAAGCAGAGGACAGUGGCGGACGGGGUGAGUAACGCGUGAGGAACCUGCCUUUCAGAGGGGGACAACCAGUUGGAAACGACUGCUAAUACCGCAUGAUACAUUUGGGUGGCAUCAUCUGAAUGUCAAAGAUUUAUCGCUGAAAGAUGG